rnacentral:rRNA from 1 species
CAGCCGCCGCGGUAAUACGUAGGGUGCAAGCGUUAAUCGGAAUUACUGGGCGUAAAGCGUGCGCAGGCGGUUAUAUAAGACAGAUGUGAAAUCCCCGGGCUCAACCUGGGAAUGGCAGUGGAUACUGGCUCGCUAGAGUGUGUCAGAGGAUGGUGGAAUUCCCGGUGUAGCGGUGAAAUGCGUAGAGAUCGGGAGGAACAUCAGUGGCGAAGGCGGCCAUCUGGGACAACACUGACGCUGAGGCACGAAAGCGUGGGGAGCAAACAGGAUUAGAUACCCCUGUAGUCCCUGUCUCUUAUAC